GUUAUUUUCUUAAAAUUUAUGGAAAAGUUGUCCCAAAAAUAUUGGUUAUAUAUAAAAGUUUAAUAUAUUUUCUAAAGAAAAUCGUUUUAUUUUAAUAUAUAUUCUUAAAGAUGAGAACAAUAUGAGCAAAUACAUGAAAAAUUAAGUUUUUUAUUUAUGCCUCUUUUUAACUUACCACAGUAAUAAAUGUUCACCACAGAAAAAUGUUACGAACAAAUAAGCAACCAUGCCGAAUAGUGGGGUCCAGAUUAUGCUCAUUCACAGCCAUAUUUACAUUUUUGCCAUCGUAACGAAGGUUUUUGCAAGACAAUUUGUUUGAGUUUAUUUCAUGGUUAAAUGCUUUACGAUGGUUUAUUUAGUUAUUUGAAUCUGGAAGAAGUGUGCAAAUUUCCCUUGAGACGAUAAAUAACAGAUCGGGUUGGGAUUUUAUUCCAAUAAAAGUACGGAAUAACUAAACAUGGCCUCGUUAAUACUGCUGCGUAAUGGGUCAGGUGCUGUUCCAAUUUUAUGAUUUAAGAGAUGUAAAAGCGAUACGCGAUGCUGUGAAGUACUCAAAUGUAUUUAUGAACUUAGUUGGUCGUGAAUUCGAGACAAAAUUUUAAAUUCAAUGACGUCCUUGUGGAAGGUGCACGUCGCAUUGCUAGAAUCAGCAAAGAAGCUGGUGUAGAACGUUUGAUUAUUUGUCUGCUUUAAACGCUAGUCCCAAACCAAUGAGCUUUGUGUUUGAAGGUGGAAGUAACUUUUUGAAGAGCAAAUACUCCGGUGAGCACAUUCGGAUGUUGUACGAGAUAUUGUCAAUUGCGCUUAGGAUACCGAUACUGCUGGUCAGCUUUAUUAAGCUGUUGUACCAAAGCGUUACCAGUUGAGCGAAUUAAUUUACUGGUUUCAUCGUGUAAUGCGCAAAAAUGAAAAAUAGUGUGGAUACCGUCGUUAAGACAUGCGUUACGAUCCUAGCUUCUUAUUGAAAGCCAAGUUCACUGAGCUUAUCUGUCCUGAACAACCUAUUGGUGAGCUACAUACGGAACGUGUCGAUCGCGAAUGUAUGACCGAUGUCGUUCCCUCCGACAUACCGUGGUUGAAGAAUUUUGGUGUUCAAUUGACCUCCAUGGAAGAGCAAGUACCAUGGGAAUUGUGACCAUAUCGUGCUGCGCAAUAUUAUGAUGCCGAAUUGGGAGAGUGGGGGGAACCACCUCCACCAAAACCGAUAGAACAUCGGGAAGAACUACGCAAAUAAUAAACAACGCUCAUCAAAUGAAAGUUGGCAGCGUUGGUGACCAAGCAGCGAUUUGAAAAGAAACAUUUGCAUCUACGCGAAUUACAAUUCGUCUUUACAUCUAGUGAAUUAUGGUCGAUUAUGAAUGGUGUGGAAGUUGAUAUUUAAACUUAAAAAAAACAAAUAAAUGUAAUUUGGCUAAUAAUGAACCGCUAUUAAAAAUUAAAUAAUU